rnacentral:rRNA from 1 species
AGAGGUGGCAAGCGUUGUUCGGAAUUACUGGGCGUAAAGGGCGCGUAGGCGGCUCGACAAGUCCCGCGUGAAAGCCCCCGGCUCAACUGGGGAACUGCGCGGGAAACUGUCGGACUUGAGUUCGGGAGAGGGAAGCGGAAUUCCGGGUGUAGCGGUGAAAUGCGUAGACAUCCGGAGGAACACCGGUGGCGAAGGCGGCUUCCUGGACCGACACUGACGCUGAGGCGCGAAAGCUAGGGGAGCAAACGGGAUUAGAUACCCCGGUAGUCCUAGCCCUAAACGAUGAGCGCUGGGUGGUAGGGGGUUUUAACCCCCCCUGUGCCGAAGCUAACGCAUUAAGCGCUCCGCCUGGGGAGUACGGUCGCAAGGCUG